rfam:Felis catus isolate Cinnamon breed Abyssinian chromosome X, whole genome shotgun sequence.
GGGAAACGAGGUCGGGGCUGGGGAGGUGAGGCCCCCCAAGUCCUCCUCGGCAAAUAGGCUCA